rnacentral:rRNA from 1 species
GCCAGACUCCUACGGGAGGCAGCAGUGGGGGAUAUUGCACAAUGGGGGGAACCCUGAUCCAGCGACGCCGCGUGAGUGAAGAAGUAUUUCGGUAUGUAAAGCCCUAUCGGCAGGGAAGAAGAAAUGACGGUACCUGAAUAAGAAGCACCGACUAAAUACGUGCCAGCAGCCGCGGUAAUACGUAUGGUGCAAGCGUUAUCCGGAUUUACUGGGCGUAAAGGGAGCGCAGGCGGCGCGCCAAGUCUGAUGUGAAACCCCGGGGCUCAACCCCGGGCAUGCAUUGGAAACUGGCGGGCUGGAGUGCCGGAGAGGUAAGCGGAAUUCCUAGUGUAGCGGUGAAAUGCGUAGAUAUUAGGAGGAACACCAGUGGCGAAGGCGGCCUGCUGGGCUUUAACUGACGCUGAGGCUCGAAAGCGUGGGGAGCAAACAGGAUUAGAUACCCCAGUAAC